CACGCCGUAAACGAUGGAUACUAGCUGUUGGGAGCAAUCUCAGUGGCUAAGCGAAAGUGAUAAGUAUCCCACCUGGGGAGUACGUUCGCAAGAAUGAAACUCAAAGGAAUUGACGGGGGC
rnacentral:rRNA from 1 species